rnacentral:rRNA from 1 species
GAUUAACGCUAGCGGCAGGCCUAAUACAUGCAAGUCGCACGGGAUUCGAGGGUAGCAAUAUCUUGAUGAGAGUGGCGCACGGGUGCGUAACACGUAUGCAAUCUACCUUUAACUGGGGGAAUAGCUCACCGAAAGGUGAAUUAAUACCGCAUAAAAUCACAGAAGGACAUCCUUUAAUGAUUAAACCUACGGGGGUUAAAGAUGAGCAUGCGUCCGAUUAGCUAGUUGGCGGGGUAAUAGCCCACCAAGGCAACGAUCGGUAGGGGGUCUGAGAGGAUGAUCCCCCACACUGGUACUGAGAUACGGACCAGACUCCUACGGGAGGCAGCAGUAAGGAAUAUUGGACAAUGGAGGCAACUCUGAUCCAGCCAUGCCGCGUGAAGGAUUAA